GUUGGACACGACGUCGCUACUUUUAGCUGGGAAGCCUUAACGUAACGGUGCGAUCAAUCGCCCGCUGUCAAAAUUGAAAAUGUCAGAAUAACAAAAGGUGUCGACUUUACUUACCCUGACUGUCAACCGAGACUUACCACAGACGAAAAAAAAAAAAAC